UUGACCCUGUUGUCACAGCUCCCCAGUGUGCAAAGACAGCAGAGUGCUUCUUGUGUUCUUCCUGAGGUGUUUUCGAUGUUAUGUGGCUGGGUGGAUUGAACAUUGACAAAGGCAGAUUUAUGGAACGGGGAAUGAGGCUGUCCCGGUGAUGCAGGCUGAUUUUCUCUCAGAGAAUGCCAUUGAACUGACUUUUGGGUCCACGUGAGCGAUGAGGGACAAGAAGCAGAAGAUGUAUCUCUCAGCUACUGCUCCAGCACCUGCCUGCCUGUCUGCUGCCAUGCUCCCACCAUGAAGCUCAUGGACUAAGCCUCUGAAACUGUAAACAAGCCUCCAAUUAAAUGCUGUUUUUAAAUUAAGUGCUUCCAUCAUGGUGUGAUGGGGGAGGUCCUGUAUGCUGUGAAUAUAUGUAUAUCUGAUUGGUUGAUGAAUAAAGCUGUUUCAGCCAAUGGACAGGCAAGAUGUAGCUAGGUACGAAGUAUAGGCAGGGCUACCAGACUAGGAGAAUUCUGGGAAGAGGAACACAGAGAAUGAGUCACCAGGGAGACACCAUGCAGCUGUCAAGUGAGCAAGAGGUCUGGGCAUCACUGGUAAGCCCAAGACCAUGUGGAGCUAACAGAUUAAUAAUGACGGGUUAAUAAUUAAGAGAGAACUAGCCAAUAAGAAGCCAAAGCCAUCAGCCAAACAGUUUAUAAUUAAUAUAAGCCUCUGUGUAUUUACUUGGGACUAAACAGCUGUGGGACCAGACAAACAGAAACUUCCAUCCACAGUGGUGUUGUCUAACAGUAGUAAAGCUAGAGAACACUUUAUAUACAUGUAUGAAAUUCAGAAACAAUUAAAAUGAGAAAAUAAUGUUCUAUAAAUAAAAUCUGGGGGCUGGAGAGAUGGCUGAGAGGUUAAGAGCACCGACUGCUCUUCCAGAGGUCCUAAGUUCAAUUCCCAGCAACCACAUGGUGGCUCACAACCAUCCAUUAUGAGAUCUGGUACCCUCUUCUGGUGUGCAGAUAUACAUGG
rnacentral:lncRNA from 1 species